GGCUGCGAGAUGCCACUGGCUUGGCUGCUCUCCACCGUAUAUAGAGAGAAAGAGAGAGAGAGAGACGGAACCACUGGGAAUACAAACAGCUGUCUGGACUCGGCUGCCACCACCCCGAUCCCCCCUCCGGGCGACAGUCGACCGAGCCAUUGAUCGGAGCGCCGCUCUGCGGCAUCCGUCACAAUCACUGGUGCUGUGUAGGGUCUGGUGGGUCGAGGCAGGAAUCGCUUCGGGUACCUGGUAGACGUGUCGGGUCGGUCAUGUUACCGUUUAGUGGAUCGUUACGUAUCACGUUAUCCGAAUUUGCCGAGUGAAAUGUCCAUCAACCACUUAUUCGCAGGUAACCCCAGCGGAGGAUACUUGGUUAGGCCUUACACCUUUCCCGAUUAUUUUGCAUUGCCAGGUGAGUGGAAUUUUUCAAACGUUUUAAAGUCGGCCAUAACUCUCUCUCUUAUAUACUACUACGUAUAUCCCCGGAGUGUGGCGGGUUUUGGGGUGGCAAGCCGAUCUCUCUCCUCUACCUCUCCGGGGCCCUAGUGGAAUUAAAGCAACGGGGGGAGAGACGCCUGGUCUGAUGGCUUCCGGCGUCCCUUCGGCGGUGUCGUAAAGAGAGACAGACGAGUUUUGUCCUUCGGCCGCUGGCUUUUUGCUGCGUGCAUCUUCGUCUUUCCUGCAACACGACUCUAACGAUCGUUUUCUUCUUCUUUUCUCCGCAACUUACCCGAACCAUAUAAAAAUACAUAUUUUUUUUUUAUUAUUCUUCGCCAGUUUUAAACUUUUUAUCCUCGUAAUCGUCGUUUCUAGCGGGUUUUUUCCGCGUAUUUUAAAUAAACAAACGUUCGACACUUUCCCUACCAGGAGAAACUCCCCUCUUCGAAAGGAAAAUAAUCAACGAAAAGAGGGAAUCUGUUUGGGGAUAUUUUUCCGAUUUUUCGUAGGCGUUAUAUAAACCGUUCUUUAAUUAUCCGAAGCGUAAUUAUUAACCGGGCAGAGUAUUAAUAAUAAUAAUAAUAACCGCGUUAGUCGGUUUCGUCAAAAAUUUUAAAUUAGUGCGGCGGUUAUUAUUAAUUAUUGUGAGCCAAGAUACUUAACCGGUCGAGUAAAUUCCCUUUAACGAGAGAGCGUUUGGUAUCUUGGCGCGUUAUUCCCCCACCCAAGUCCAAUUUAACGACAAUAAUUAUGUCGUACACCGUUAACGAAACGAAAUUUUAUAUGGCAUUUAUAAAAUUUUACACAACUCCAUCGGAAAGAAAGAAAAGAGAAAAAUCGGAAGGUAAAAAGUCCGGAGAGAAUUUUAUUACGCUAAUGGAGAAAACGGGUGCGUGUUUUUAACGUCACCGUUAACGAAAACGAUUAAAGUUUUGAUGCAGUCGAUUUAUCGCCGGUGUAAACAACGUGACGUUAACCAUCGGUUGGCUUUCGCCGGUUGAUUAACGUCCGAUAUUGCGUAUUGACGCGCAACACACAAUCCCAAUGUUAUUGUCCCAUCGUAGGUGAGUGGCAGUAGGUGCUUACUACUAAAUGCGUCCGUCACACGGAGUGCGUGUAACUGAUUGAACUGUUUAAUACCGCAUAAGUGGUGGCAUUGUAUCGUAAAAAAAAAGAAAAGAAAGAUGUCCGAAUAUAAUAGGAGAGUCGAGUAGAAUGGAGCCGCACGGAGGUUUAUUAUUAAGAUAGCAUCGAUGCCAUUACCUUGCCGCGCGCAUCUCCAUACGUGUAAUUUUAUGUCACGACGAUGUAAUUACCUUUCGCUUCAUUAAUAUUCUUCACUUAUAAACAAAUGACACACGCGGGUAUAACAGAAAAAAAAAGAUGGAGACAUUUUUAAAUGGAAGACAAAUGCGACUGUAUCCGAAUGGGCGUUACUCUAAAUUCGCGUGUAGUUUGCGUGUGGCGACGUCGUUAUUAAAUAUGAUCUUUAAAACCAGAUUUUUCUCGACACGAAUAGAAAAUAUUAUCUAUAUCUCUGUCUUUCUCUCUCGACGCUAAACACUUCUAGUCGAACGGAUCCAGGUUCCAGAAGGUAACGAUCCGCUACGUUUAAUUGCGAUUUUUCUGAGCCAUCUCUGGAAACUUCUGACCAUCCGGUAAGCGUGUUUAUAAUAAAGAGAAAUUUCUAACAGCAGAAUUGUUAGAGAAAAGAAGGAAAAAAUCGUUUCGAAAUAGCUCGCGUGAUGUAGGUAGAUCAACAACUGAUAAAAGAACGAUGACGAAACACGAGUUAUCAUUUCAUUAACCUUGUACGAAGUUUUAAAUUGCCGGAGCCAGUUUUUAGACGCUGUAGUGUUAAAGUUUUCGUGACGUGUUCAGAAUGGCUACCUCUAUAAUACAGGAAAGUAUUAUUUAUAUUAGUUUUAAGAGUACGUGGAAAGAAAGAAUUGCGAAAUAUCCAAUGCGUUUUCUAUCGUUCCAAGUAUCUUGCCACCUAUUAAUCCGAUUUAAAAUAAGAAAACUUUCGAUAAUAUUCGUUACGAAACAGUUAGAUAGUUUGUUUAAGCUUUAAUUUCUGUGUCGAAUCGUUUUGUCGCAAGAAUGCGAACAAAUUUAUGCGGCGAGUGCUAGUUUUUUGUAUAUAUAUAUAUAUAUAUGUAGGGAAAGAUAGUGGUGUAGUAGUCGAUCAGGGCC
rnacentral:lncRNA from 1 species